UAUGUGGUUAAUUCGAUGCAACGCGAAGAACCUUACCUGGUCUUGACAUCCCGGAGACCCUUAGGAAACUAGGGGGUGCUUCCAUCUGGAAGAAUCUGGAGACAGGUGCUGCAUGGCUGUCGUCAGCUCGUGUCGUGAGAUGUUGGGUUAAGUCCCGCAACGAGCGCAACCCUUGCCUUUAGUUGCCAGCAGUUCGGCUGGGCACUCUAAAGGGACUGCCGGUGUUAAACCGGAGGAAGGUGGGGAUGACGUCAAGUCCUCAUGGCCUUUAUGACCAGGGCUGCACACGUACUACAAUGGCCGAUACAAAGGGCAGCGACACUGCGAGGUGAAGCCAAUCCCGUAAAAUCGGUCUCAGUCCGGAUUGGAGUCUGCAACUCGACUCCAUGAAGUUGGAAUCGCUAGUAAUCGUGGAUCAGCAUGCCACGGUGAAUACGUUCCCGGGCCUU
rnacentral:rRNA from 1 species